rnacentral:lncRNA from 1 species
AAUAAAGAUCAAUAACUCCGAUCUUGAAUUGAAGGAUCCGAUCAUUCUUUUUUAGGACGUCGUUCGAUUUUGACCGUUCAUUUUAUGCCCACUUGAUGGACUUUAUUAUAAUUUCGAAAAUUUACGAAAUUUAUUUUCUAGAAGUUUCAAAUACUCUAGAUCAUAUUUAACGGAGUGGAUCGUCGAUUCAGAAGCUCCAUCAUUGAAAAUAACUUAUGAGUACGAAGGCUCCAAUACUCAUAAUAGUAUAGUAGCCAUGGCCUAUAUAUAUAUAUAGAGAGAGAGAGAGAGAGAGAGUAGGAAAUUGCCUUUACAUGUGGAA